GCAGUGCACUGUGUGUGCCUGCCACUUUAAGGGCCUGGAGCUGGCAGCCUCCAGGUGCCUGAUUAGGGCAGCCAUUUUAGAGGCAAGGGCUGCCUAUAUAAGCAGGGCAGUCUGGCUGCUGAAGGCCAGGCAGCAACAUUGCCUGACCAAAAGGCUGCUGAGACAACCUGGGAGUUUCACUCGGCUAACGGAAAAGCCCAUGGGCUGAUCCAAGCAGAUUCAAAAGACUUCAGACUGUAAAAAAUUAACAACCCUAACCCAGAAGACUGGAUCAAGUUAGGGACAAGGACUAACCAGCUUGACCUAACGAGACAGCUCAACUCACUGCAAAAAAGCACAGCCUAUGGAACAGAAAUGGGGACAAGAUUUAUUGUUGUGACCAGAGACGGGUCCAAGGAGAGGACCUGAAGUCCUAUUCACCUCUCAAGGUCUCCACGUAGAAGAUGGGAGACCACUGGGCAUUUACGACCCAAGCAGCACCAUCCCACUACAGUGAGCACUAGAAAGAAAAACCUGCAAGACAUUUGUCCAAUCCGACUGCGAUGCAGAAAGUAAACAAACAAUGCCAACAGUGAAAAGCACCUAUGUUUUGUUUUGUCUUGUUUUCUAAAAAUGUUUCUUGCAGUUUUAAAGCUCUCAGGUGCAUGGUAAUCACUUGAAAAUUCUCAGCGAGUCAGAUACCAAAAGUUUCUACAGACUAUUGACUGUAUUUACACAUGCCAUCUGGCACUUGUAAACAGGACUUUAUUUGUGCAGUUACUUUUUCACACACAUUUUAAAAGCCUUUAAAAAUUGGCUCUUGUUAAUAAUAUACUGCAUUUAAGAUAACAGCUCUGAUUCCAACCUGCCUCACAAGCUCAGUUAUUAAGCUAUUUUUCACGUUUUGUACAAUCCCUGCUAUACUUACAGUCAUUGCUGUGCACUUAUAUUGCACCUCUCCUAAUGUGGUUAAACAGAACUACCUUGACAGAAGACAGCCAUGAAGGUUUUCUGACAAUGUAAAUUACUAAGCAACUGAAGCAUCUGUUCAGUAUCCAUUAGUUGUGUUACUCAGGGAGGGUGGGAAAAGGAAUUAUGAUGGAGGACACACAGACCUAGCCACAGUGAUAAUCUCUAGCUUCAUACGAUGGCUAUGUCUGCACUGCAACUGGGGUAUGCAACUGCAGCCUGUACGGUCUUACCUGAGGUAGCCUUAACCUAACCAGCUGGGGUACAAAAUUCAUGAAAAUAGUGGCACGGACUUCAGCACAGGCUAGCUAUCCCAUACCCCUGCGAUGAUUAAAGCUAGCUCCUGCAUACCUCAGUACACUGCCAUCCUAGGCUGAGCAAAAGAGUUAAAUCACAGACCCAAGGAAGUCAAUGGAAAAACUCCCACUGAAUCCCACUGGAUUAGAAUUGGCCCUAUCAGGGGUGGGGGCCUCAUUUACAGUCAUGCUGCGAUUACUAUGAAGAACUGCACAAUUGUUCUUCAAGAACAAUAGGGAAUUGUGUAAGAAAACCACCAAAUCAAGGGAAUACAAUUCUGCAGCAGAUCUCAGAAGCUAUGCAGUAGCCUGGAAAAAGGCCAGUAGCUUCACUAGUCAGGAAUGUCCACAUCAUAACUGGCAAUAAUUUGACCUCUGGCUGGCAGGCCAAGCAUAGAAGCUGAGAAUGACAGUCUUGGCCCUGUUGAUAUUCUCACUGAAUCAACUUUAUACUGUUCUCAAGGCCAGAGUUUCUUUCAGUUAUAUGGAUAACAGCUCCUGCCGAUUCAAACUGCACCUGUAGACAUGAGAGCAGAAUUUGAACCCAAGCCUUCAGUUUCCAAGAUGUCAACACACGCUGCUCCAUGAGAACUCAACUCCCUUGCACUGUUCUCCAAGCCAUACCACAGCUACAAACAGGUGAGGAAGGAUUCCCUGCUUUUAAUUCUUCUUGAUUUACCUGCCGGUACAAAGUUAGUUUUUAUGAGGACUUCUUGAAGAGACAAUUGAUGCACACUAGCAACAAAAGGCUAAAGGAGAAGCAGAUUUUAGUGGUGAUACCAUAGAGCAGCCGUUUAAAAUGAAGAAAAUUAAUGCUUUUAUCAUUUUUUUUCAAAAAGCGCAUCUUAAAAAAAAAAAAAAGUUUCCUCAUUUUCUUUAGUGCAUAAAAGAAAUUCAGCUAAGAUAAGGGGAAUGUGUUUCAUGCUGGUAAACACUUGCAAACAGAGCUCAGCACUACAGAAUCCUUGCACGUACUUCUACUUAAUGAAGGGGCUUUCCAGGAUCAAGCAAGUCUGGUCCCAUUAAUAACUCAGAACAAUUAUAAAGAAAAUACAACUGUCACCACCCCCACUCUACCUCUAUGAACUAAAUUUGAGGAGAUUAAAACUGUAUGUUAAAUCAAUUCCCCAAAAUGAAUCGACCCCAAAAGGUCGAAACAGAAAUCAUCCGAGAGCCAUAGUAACUGAUCUGAAAGACGCAAGGCCAUCUCUCCAGGCCCGGUUACUAAAUCAUACAUCUGAACGUUGGCCACCAGCACUCCUGCAGCUUCCAUUUGCUGCCCUGGAAUCUACAACGAAUGUGCGCUAGCUCAGAGCUGCUCCUCCAGGGAGCAAUUACCAUUUUAUACAUCAGUGUUCAGUUACAGGGCUGUGAGUGUCCUACAGCCAAUCAUAAUAUAGGUUCUGCACAUCAGAGCUUGAGGUCUGAAAAUAAGAAAUUUGGCAAAAGUUAUUAUAACAAAAGAAAGAUUCCUUGCUAGUAUGAUUGUGAACAUGCUUAGCUUCCAUUCACAAAUACUGCCAUUUUGGCAGUGAUUAAUCACAGCACUUUGGAUAUUUAAGAAGUCAUUGUAGCGGUUAAUUGCUCCGUGGAAAUAUGGUAUGAAGUGUCACUUUACUUUGAAAAUAAUGACAUAUAAUAGGCCAAAUUCUAUUCUUACUGGCAUCCAUGCUGCUUAUCUGUACUCACUGGAGCAGCCCUGUAGAAAGGCCUUUGGAGAUUAACUCUACUGCCUAAAGCCUCAUCUGAUAUAAAGUGGUUUAGGUCCAUUUAAUCCAGCUGGAGAUCUGGCCUUAAGGUUUGAUAAGCAAGUACUGCAACAUCUCUUUGGCUGCAGGCCAUUUCCAUAGGACAGAAUUUUGGCCCCACAUCCUGUAAAUUCAUUGAACAAAGAUUUGGCAUCAACAAGUCACAUUUCAGUGUACUUCUAAUGAGAUUAAGAUCUGAAGCAACACACACAAUAAAUCGUAGCUAGAUAAGACAAAUGCAAUAUUUCCGUUGCUCAGUUUUCUUUAUAGCAUAUUCCCUGUGCAUGGCAGGGAGACAACUAACCUUCCCAGAGAACAGUCUAAACAAUACCAACAUUUGAUUCAUGACAUGGUAAACAUCUGCGCCCCAAGCAAUGACUCAGUCAGGGCCAGCACUGUACAAUCAAGGCAGCACACCCUCUCCUCUGCAAGAACAUCUGCAUCCCUGCGGUAAUCAAAGGACCAGAAAAAUGAAGAAUGUCACAAUGAGAAAAACUAGGGGGAAAGUCAAGCACAUUUUUAAAUGUAUGAUGAUUUAAUUCAGCUGUUUUCAAAACUGUGAUACAUGUGCUGCAAAGUGAUGCUAUGCGAGCCAUAACCAUGCAGUACAGGGUUUGUUUGGAAGUGCUGUAUCAGAAUAAGAGUCCAUUCAAACGCCACUGAUGAACCUUCUCAAGUUAAUAUGACACCCACUUGAAACUACAGUUUAUCAGGCCUUCAAGUCUGAAAGCAUUAAACAGAAAAUAAAGACAAGGCGCCUUGGUUUGCAGGCUACAGGACUGAGCUCCAUAAACAAGGGGCAGGGGGAAGAAUUUUCCAUGUUAGCAGGUUUGAGUGACCAGAUGAAAUUCACAGCUCUUUCCACAAGAGCAGGUAUUAAUGAUUCCUGCAUAAAUCAGCCCACAGUGUCUCAAGUUGGCCAUUUUAAGAAACACUCCAAACAAUGACCCCCACUUUUCUCUAAGUGCAGAAUUUUCUUACUACAGAUACUAAUUUUCUUCACCAAAAACAGCCUCAGGAAAAAACAAACAAAACAAACUAUUCUGUUUCUUCAACAGAUUCUACUAUAUGCCUCAAACAGAUCCUCCAAAACUCAUUAAGCACUGAGGCCACUGACCCACAUUACAUUUAAGAUGGGAUUAUCAGGUUAAUUGCACCUUAAAUAGUAACAUGUGCAAGUUAAUUUAAGGUGUAAUAAUAGAGGAAAUGAAACACAAAGUUAAUCCACAUAUGUGAGAACUUUGUGUCUUAUUGGUAUCACACCUUAAAAUAAGCACGUGCCCCAGGACCUGUCAAAACCGUGAGUGUUAUCUAGUUGGACAGCACACAUGGUUUUAUAGGUCCAGGUACAGGAGAACUCGGGGAUUGGGCUAUGAUUGGCUAGGGUCCCCAUGCGUGGGGAUGAGUAAACACCCUGUGUGCCACCCACCUGGGUGGCACAUGGGGUUUAUACUGCUCCCAGUGUGUGAGAAGCCCAGCACAGGGCUGCUUCCCAUGCACUGGGAGCUAUAAAACCACAUGUGCCACCCAGCUGAACAGCACAUGGGUUUUUACUCAUCCCCAGAGCUCAGGGGUCCAGGAUCAGGCUGUAACAGACCACUCCUAGGGUCCCUGUGCUCCUAGUUCGGGUUUUGACAAUCAGUGAUUGUUGGCUGGUUUAGUUCCUGGCCCCAAAAGACAAUCAGCUGAUCAUUGGCACCCUAGUUUCAUCAGCAGGAGCCCGGGAUCAUGAGCAAUCUGCUACCCUGCACCAGCAAGUAAGACAUGAUUGGGAUCUCAUCUCCAAUCCCAAAAUUGCACAUCCCGCAAAGAAUAUGUGGCAUGGCAGGAGAGAUCUAACAGUUGCACUAUCAGGCCCUAAAGUGAACGUCUUCUCAGGGGCCUCAAAGACUGAUGCACAAUGGCUGAACACAGCUUCUCUUCUAUCCACAGGGUGAACCCCUGUUGACUUCAGUAAGAUUCUGUGUGUACAACUUAAGAGCCUAAGCCCAAAGUCAUUUUUAAUAA